CCUACGGGAGGCAGCAGUAGGGAAUAUUGCUCAAUGGCGGAAACCCUGAAGCAGCAACGCCGCGUGGAGGAUGAAGGUUUUCGGAUUGUAAACUCCUUUUGUUAGAGAAGAUAAUGACGGUAUCUAACGAAUAAGCACCGGCUAACUCCGUGCCAGCAGCCGCGGUAAUACGGAGGGUGCAAGCGUUAAUCGGAAUCACUGGGCGUAAAGCGCGCGUAGGGGGGAUAGCAAGUCUGAUGUGAAAUCCUAUGGCUUAACCAUAGAACUGCAUUUGAAACUGUUAUUCUAGAGUAUGGGAGAGGUAGGUGGAAUUCCUGGUGUAGGGGUAAAAUCCGUAGAGAUCAAGAGGAAUACUCAUUGCGAAGGCGACCUGCUAGAACAUAACUGACGCUGAUGCGCGAAAGCGUGGGGAGCAAACAGGAUUAGAUACCCCAGUAGUC
rnacentral:rRNA from 1 species